CCUCCGCCCCUUUUCCUUCCCGUCCCCGUUGGCGCUCGCAGCAGUGGAGGCGUGGGUAGCGGCAGCGGCAGCGUGGGCUCGGCGGCGCGCGCAGCAGUGGAGGCACGGUAGCGGCAGCGGCGGCGUGCGCUGCAGCAGCGGCAGCGGCGUGGGCUCGGCGGCACGAGCUGCGGCUGCGGCGGCGUGGGUUGCAGGGCGUCCGGCAGCAACUUGGGUGCGCAGCUGCCGGCGAGCGGGGGCGCUGCUCCCCUCACCCUCUCCUGCAGCGAGGGCCGCUACUGCAAGUGGGGCUACGGUGGCCGCAGCACGGACUGCUACUGGCACCUGCGCCUCCCUCCGUCAGGAUCCAUCGAUUUGGAUUUGGCUAUGGACGAAUGAGUUUUGGAUUUGCCUUUGCUCCAAUCCGCUACCCGGCAGCGCGCGGAGGGCAAGUGCGCGGUGGAGCGGUGGCGCUGCAUCCGAGCAGCGGCAGCGGCGCACGAAGCAGCAAGAGGAGCAUAUUUUUUCAAUUUUUUUUGAUUUGUGACGGGGCAACACCGCCGGUUCUGGAACCGGUGGUGAUGGUUUGCACUAUCACCGCCGGGUCUUGAACCGUUGGUGAUGGCCCUUUUCAUCACCAUCGAGUUAAAUCCAACGCCUCCCCAAACCGGCAGUGAUGACUAUUUUUAACCGGCGGUGAUAGGGGUUACUGGAGUGGAGUAGUGUUAUAACUACAAAACGAAGUAGUAGAAGUUUUCCAGUCA